CAUAAGCAUAUAUACCAAAAAAUGCGAGUCUCUCCUGCAGUAUAUUGACGGAUUUACGAUGGUGAUGUCUACGUUUUUGAUUAAACGACAAUGGAGGAGGAGAAAUUAUAGCCUGGAUUGAGGAGAUGCUCAGAGACGAUGAGUGAAGGGUCAGAGGAGGAGAAACGCCGCGAGAAACAGAGCUUAUCGGCUUUAGGAAGACCAGUGACGGUAUUGUGUACUAAGAAAGGUUUGGGAUGACUCCAAUACUGCUUUCGUUCUCACCAAUAAAUUGAUCAUGAGAGAAGAUCAGUUUUUGGCCAUGGCUAGGAUUAACGACGUUGGUGAAAAAGGAGAAGGAAGGCUUCUGAAGAAGAUGAUAAAUUUUUUAAGAAAAAAAAAUUAUAUAUAAAAAUUGGCUUUUGGUUUGGUUUAAUUGAUUUUAAGCUUUUUGAUUAGGAGUCAACCAAUUAAAACCAAUAAACCAAUUUAAACCAUGAUCUAUGGGUAAUUAAGUUACAAAUUAUUGAUUCAUGGAGAAAUAGGUUUGCAAUUUUUAUAUUAUGGGGAUUUAGCAUGAGGUUAAAGUUCGAUGGGGAUUUGAUGCUAUAUGAUAGUUAUCGUGGGGAAAUAGAUGGUCGACCCUAUAUUAAAA
rnacentral:lncRNA from 1 species